UAGGGAAUCUUCCGCAAUGGACGAAAGUCUGACGGAGCAACGCCGCGUGAGUGAAGAAGGAUUUCGGUUCGUAAAACUCUGUUGUUAGGGAAGAAAAAAUGUAUAGUAACUAUAUACAAAAGAGACGGUACCUAACCAGAAAGCCACGGCUAACUACGUGCCAGCAGCCGCGGUAAUACGUAGGUGGCAAGCGUUAUCCGGAAUUAUUGGGCGUAAAGCGCGCGUAGGCGGUUUUUUAAGUCUGAUGUGAAAGCCCACGGCUCAACCGUGGAGGGUCAUUGGAAACUGGAAAACUUGAGUGCAGAAGAGGAAAGUGGAAUUCCAUGUGUAGCGGUGAAAUGCGCAGAGAUAUGGAGGAACACCAGUGGCGAAAGCGACUUUCUGGUCUGUCACUGACGCUGAGGCCCGAAAGCGUGGGUAGCAAACAGG
rnacentral:rRNA from 1 species